UACGUAGGGUGCAAGCGUUGUCCGGAAUUAUUGGGCGUAAAGAGCUCGUAGGCGGUUCGUCGCGUCUGCUGUGAAAACUCGGGGCUUAACCCCGGGCCUGCAGUGGGUACGGGCAGGCUAGAGUUCGGUAGGGGAGAUCGGAAUUCCUGGUGUAGCGGUGAAAUGCGCAGAUAUCAGGAGGAACACCGGUGGCGAAGGCGGAUCUCUGGGCCGAUACUGACGCUGAGGAGCGAAAGCGUGGGGAGCGAACAGG
rnacentral:rRNA from 1 species